UUCAGCAUCAGGUGUUUCAACCCUUCCUUUGGCUCUUCGGAACUGAGAAAGGACAAGUGCAACCUGUUCCUUAACUUCGUCGGAUAUUUCAAGCUUUUCAUAAUAAAUUCCAUUCAAAGCUUGUUCAAGCUUGGAUGUCAGCUCUUGAAAUUUAUUCAUGAUAUGCUCCAUUUCUAGCACCAGAUAAAUCUUACUGCCUUCGCUACCAAAUUUGAG
rnacentral:misc_RNA from 1 species